AGCGCUAUCCUUCCGUUGUAUUCAAGCUUGGUUGUCGAGUACACGUGCUCGGAUAACGCUCA
rnacentral:pre_miRNA from 1 species